CCUGAGUGAUGACAGCAAAGACUGACUUAUCCAUGGAGUCUUAUAUUAGCUCUAGCUGACU
rnacentral:snoRNA from 1 species